UACGUAGGGUGCAAGCGUUGUCCGGAAUUAUUGGGCGUAAAGAGCUCGUAGGCGGUCUGUUGCGUCGGCUGUGAAAACCCGGGACUCAACCCCGGGCCUGCAGCCGAUACGGGCAGACUAGAGUUCGGCAGGGGAGACUGGAAUUCCUGGUGUAGCGGUGAAAUGCGCAGAUAUCAGGAGGAACACCGGUGGCGAAGGCGGGUCUCUGGGCCGAUACUGACGCUGAGGAGCGAAAGCGUGGGGAGCGAACAGG
rnacentral:rRNA from 1 species